UCUUAGGAAAUCCAGCUCUGAUCUUUCUGGUGUGACCUUUGAUCAGAAACCAGGGAACCAACCCCAACCUAAAUGGCUCUUUUGGGGGUGUGUUCUUGUCCCAGGCAGGACCAGUCCCCAGGGAGGCAGAAACUCCUUGCCAAACUGGCGGCCAGUCAUACCCACUUCACCAUCCCAGGGAAGGAGGGAGAGAGUCUGUCAUGGACCUUUUGGCAAAAUCCUUCUUCCUCCCCAAACACCAGCUAUGAUUAGCUGUGUCCUCACCACGAAACUGCAGGGGUGUGUGCGGAUGAGAAGAGGUGAAGAGAGAAGCAGUGCAGGUGUGAAGGUGUACAUCUGCAGGAAUGCCCCUGUACAUGCCGCUACAAGGAGUAAACAGAAAAGAGUCCAGGAGAGGAAAAGAAAAGCUGAGUGAAGUUGAACAAGAAAAUACUCAGCCAGGAGAGCAGGAGUAUUCUGAGGAAACAACUUCUAAACUGACUGCAGAAGAGGUGAGUAGCUGGGGUCAGGAAGCAGCCCGUGCAGAGGCCUGGAGGUAAGUGCCAGCAUGCGUGUCUG
rnacentral:lncRNA from 1 species